UUACAAAAUACAUUUCCUUGAAGAUCAUGCAAGAAAAAUUCCAAAUUAAAGGGACAAACAUUUUGAUACAUGAAAUUAUCUAUGGAAGAGUGAAACUACAUAACAUGAAAGAAAGGCUAUUUCAUCUGCUGCUUUCUCCACUUACUGAACUUACAUACUUAGUUAUUUGCUAAACUAGAUCUUCGCUAGACCCCGAGAGCUUAGUCCACCAGGCUGUCCUUUCGUAAUUUUCUUCAGUGCCAAGCUGAUGCAGAGAUUAGGUUCCUCUUUUUCCAUCCCAACAACAUAGCUCCAUCUUUC
rnacentral:misc_RNA from 1 species